GUCCAUAGUAGCUUAAACACAAAGCAUGGCACUGAAGAUGCCAAGACGGUAGCUCCUCCUACCCCAGGACA
rnacentral:tRNA from 1 species